UAUUGUUUUGUUUUCUUUUU
rnacentral:miRNA from 1 species